CGGGGCGUGGCUCAGCUUGGUAGAGCGCGACAUUUGGGAUGUUGAGGUCGCAGGUUCGAAUCCUGUCGCCCCGA
rnacentral:tRNA from 1 species